UAUCAACUGACCUAGCAGACAAGCCAAGAUGAUAAAGUCUUUCCUCAAGGAGGAUAACAUG
rnacentral:ncRNA from 1 species